rnacentral:tRNA from 1 species
GCGUGGUGGUCCAGCGGUAGAAUCCUCGCCUUCCACGCGGGAGACCCAGGUUCAGCUCCUGGCCAUUGUA